GAUGAACGCUAGCGGCAGGCCUAACACAUGCAAGUCGAGGGAGAGGUUACCUUCGGGUAACCAAAACCGGCGCACGGGUGCGUAACGCGUAUACAAUCUGCCUUUCACAUAGGGAUAGCCCGAAGAAAUUUGGAUUAAUACCUAAUGGUAUAUAAGAGCGGCAUCGUUUUUAUAUUAAAGCUACGGUGGUGAAAGAUGAGUAUGCGUUCUAUUAGCUAGUUGGAGAGGUAACGGCUCCCCAAGGCGACGAUAGAUAGGGGUUCUGAGAGGGAUGUCCCCCACACUGGUACUGAGAUACGGACCAGACUCCUACGGGAGGCAGCAGUGAGGAAUAUUGGACAAUGGUCGGAAGACUGAUCUAGCCAUGCCGCGUGCAGGAUGAAGGUCCUAUGGAUUGUAAACUGCUUUUGUAAGGGAAGAAUAAGGAGUACGUGUACUUUGAUGACGGUACCUUACGAAUAAGCAUCGGCUAACUCCGUGCCAGCAGCCGCGGUAAUACGGAGGAUGCGAGCGUUAUCCGGAAUCAUUGGGUUUAAAGGGUCCGUAGGCGGGCUGAUAAGUCAGAGGUGAAAGCGCUUAGCUCAACUAAGCAACUGCCUUUGAAACUGUCAGUCUUGAAUGAUUGUGAAGUAGUUGGAAUGUGUAGUGUAGCGGUGAAAUGCUUAGAUAUUACACAGAACACCGAUAGCGAAGGCAUAUUACUAACAAUUUAUUGACGCUGAUGGACGAAAGCGUGGGGAGCGAACAGG
rnacentral:rRNA from 1 species